AACGUAGGACGCAAGCGUUAUCCGGAGUUACUGGGCGUAAAGGGCAGGCAGGCGGGUCGAUAAGUCGGAUGUGAAAUCUCCCUGGCUUAACCGGGAGAGUGCAUUUGAGACUGUCAACCUGGAGGGCAGCAGAGGAGCGUGGAAUUCCGGGUGGAGUGGUGAAAUGCGUAGAGAUCCGGAGGAACACCAGAGGCGAAAGCGGCGCUCUGGGCUGCACCUGACGCUGAACUGCGAAAGCUAGGGGAGCAAACGGG
rnacentral:rRNA from 1 species